UUGAUAUCGAGUAUGAUGAUGUCAUAAACAGCUGGCUCAGAUUAAAGAGAUGGUGGAGCUGCCUCUCAGGCACCCCGGCCUGUUCAAAGCCAUCAGAGUGAAGGCGAGAAUCACCAUCCAGAUCUUACAGGAUUUUGGUCAAUUUUCUCAUUCAUCCAUCUAUCCAUUUAAAAAAAAUAACUAAAUCACUCAUGCGUAUUCAUUAAUGCAAAACACACUGUCUGUCUUUAGCCUCCGAGGGGGAUUCUGCUGUACGGGCCACCUGGCACAGGCAAAUCUCUGGUGGCACGUGCUGUUGCUAAUGAGACAGGAGCUUUCUUCUUCCUCAUCAGUGGUAUGUCAGAACACACUAAUUUAAAGCCACAAUCUGGAACUGUCCUGCAAUAACAGAGGCUUGUAAAAACUACAAAAAUCCUUGCUAUUUGCCCGGCACAAUUAAAGAUGCUGUAAGCGAUUUAAGCAGUUCUAGAAUUUCCUCAAACUGACCCAUUGGAAUAGCCAUCUUUUGCUAUUUGGAAAGCCAUCUUUCCAAAUGAUGCACUCUAAAGAUACCAGAUAAGCUUUAUUGAGAUCGACACCAAGCAAAUGUGAUUAUCAACAGCAGCAAAAUAGCGCCCUCAACUGACAACUGUUAUGAACAACAUGGCAUAAAAACGGCAUUACGCCUCAAUAAUUCGCUGAAACUAUAAUACUGUGAGAAUGCGCAAAAUGAUUGACAGGCAGAAAGCAUCACAUUACAUUUACAUUUAUGCAUUUGGCAGACGCUAUUAUCCAAAGCGACUUACAGUGCACUUAUUACAGGGACAAUCCCCACCAGAGCAACCUGGAGUUAAGUGCCUUGCUCAAGGACACAAUGGUGGUGGCUGUGGGGAUCGAACCAGAGACCUUCUGAGUACCAGUUAUGUGGUUUACAGAGCCUAGAGCUGUCACAGAGACCGGUGACAUAUCUCAUGACAUUCAUUGCAGUAAUGCCUUUCAGGGAGUAGGAAAAGUUUGUGCAUACUUUCCAUGAAAAACAAAUCACUUACAACACCUUUAACAUCCAUCCGCUCUGAGGGAAACGAUAGCCGAGGUUCCUCGGGUAAACUGGGAAGACAUCUGAGGACUAGAUGAGGUGAAGAGAGAGUUACAGGAGGAGGUAAAACCACUAACAUAUGAACACAAACAGGCAUGAAAUGGUCAUUCACUCACCCUCUCUCUCACUGUCUCUGGUCUGUAUCCCGUGGAGUAUCCUGAAAAGUUUCUGAAGUUUGGAAGGACACCAUCUCAUGGGGUUCUUUUCUAUGGCCCACCAGGGUGUGGCAAAACUCAACUAGCUAAAGCCAUUGCCAACGAGUGCCAGGUUAACUUUGUAUCCAUUAAAGGCCCAGAGCUGCUCACUAUGUGGUUUGGUGAGGGGGAAGUGGUGGCUCAGUGGUUGAAGCUAUGGAUUACUGACCAAAAGGUUGGGGGUUCAAGCCCCAGCACCGGCAAGGGCUGUUGGGCCCUUGACCCUAUCUACUCCAGGGGCGUGUCAUGGCUGACCCUGCGCUCUGACCCAACUGCAUUUCAUUGGCUCUGUACCUGUACACUGCACAAUGACAACAAAUGACAAUAAAGUUGAAUCUUUGAAAUGUUUGAUAAGACAGAUGAUCAGCUACUGCACAAGGACUACAGGAGCACCUGGACCUGCUGGAGAACAACUGUCAGAACUGGGCCCCGACAGUCAAUCUUACAGAUAACAGGACGCCUGAUACACAUUCACUCUGGGGAACACUGCAAUUGAUCACACCCGACACUACGACUACCUCGUCUAAACAUCAGUGCUUCAGGGGGUUUUGGUCUGGCAGUGAAUGCACUAAAAGAGAAAGCUAGAAGAGGAUUCUGUGCUAUUAAGGGCAAAUUUACCAAGUUGACAUUCCUGUAACAAUCUGGUGUAAGAUCUUUGAUAGUGUUAUAAUGCCUAUUGCUCUGUACGGAAGUGAGGUUUGGGGUCUGUAUGGCAGAUUACUGGAGAUGGGACAAACACCCCAUAGAUUCCUUGCCUGCAGAAUUCUGUAGAAACAUUCGAAGAGUUCAGAGAAGAACACCUACUAAUGCAUGCCGGGCCGAACAAGGCAGAUACCCCCUUAUUAUACAUAUUGAAAAAACGAUCACUCAAACACACUGCAACAUGAAGCCCUUAAAACCCAAGAGCUCAAGCCUAAAACCAGAAAACUCACUAACAACUAACUAACACCAGUUUCAGACCAGCACUGCUGAACUAAACCAGAUCUCAAUAAACCAAAAUUUCAUAAAGCAAAAAUUCAUAUUUGGAGCAUUGGGAAAAUGAAAGUAAAAACCAAAGCAAACUGGAAUGUUAUCGGACCCUAAACAGAACAUAUAAUCUGGCAGAAUAUCUGCACACUGUAAGAGAUCCAAAACAGAGACGGAUCCUCACCAAAUACAGUUUUCCAGUUCAGCAGAAACAGAUCAGAUGCUGGUGUUACUGGGGGAGAUCAGAUCAGAUGCUGGUGUUACUGGGGGAGGACAAUCAUGCAUCAGUUGCCAUUGCAGAAACCAAUCACUCCCUUAAUGUACUUCAGUCACAAUAUGCUUUUUUUAAUGUUCAUAAUGUCUUGUUAAAUGCUUAUUUUAUAUUGUAUAUUCUAUAUUGUUAGUGUAGUUUUAUUUUAUUUAUUACCUGGCACCUUAUUUAAAUUCUAUUUUAAUUGUUAUUUGUUGCUGUUUUAUUAUAAUUAUGUGUCUUGUCAUUGUCAGUUUUGUGUAAAAAUGCUUUGGCAAUAUUGUAUGUAAACAUGAU